UGCACUGAUUUGAGCACUUCCAACCUGCAAUUAAAAAGCCAGGGGUGAAGACGCAAGCAAGGAGUGGUCUCUCAGCAUAUGUACUUCCUUCAAAAAAGAGCAUGAACCUAAUCCAGCUCAUCAUACGCAACAAGCAAUGGCCCUGGAUAGAAACAUCCCUUCCCAUGUGCAUCAAAAGAUACCUUCAGCAAGUUCAAUGGCAUCAAAAGGACAUCAAAUUUUUGUGCACAAAAAUUAUUUGACAUUUCCCCCCUUCAAUUAAUGCAAAAAGAAACAGCAUUUGAGACGUAUCAGAAGAGAACAUUUCAGUGAACUUCUCAUGGGUGGAGAGUAGAGUUUUGCAUGUUCUUUUCUGACUUUUCAGGUGGCCAAGGGGUUUCUGCAAAUGUUCUUUCUAUCAUUCCAUAAAUCAUCUCUUUAAAAAUC